UACGGGGGGAGCAAGCGUUGUUCGGAUUUACUGGGCGUAAAGGGCGCGUAGGCGGUCAGCACAAGUCAGUUGUGAAAUCUCCGGGCUUAACUCGGAAAGGUCAACUGAUACUGUGCGACUAGAGUGAAGAAGGGGCAACUGGAAUUCUCGGUGUAGCGGUGAAAUGCGUAGAUAUCGAGAGGAACACCUGCGGCGAAGGCGGGUUGCUGGGCUGACACUGACGCUGAGGCGCGAAAGCUAGGGGAGCGAACGGG
rnacentral:rRNA from 1 species